rnacentral:rRNA from 1 species
CGGGUCAACGUCUACGAGUACGGUAGUUUACGACUCCGUACGGCUCGAGGACACGCUGGCGGCGUGCUUAACACAUGCAAGUCGAACGAUGAAGCCUAGCUUGCUAGGUGGAUUAGUGGCGAACGGGUGAGUAAUACGUGAGUAACCUACCUUUAACUCUGGGAUAAGCCUGGGAAACUGGGUCUAAUACCGGAUACGACCAAGUCUCCGCAUGGGGUGUUGGUGGAAAGCGUUAUGUAGUGGUUAUAGAUGGGCUCACGGCCUAUCAGCUUGUUGGUGAGGUAACGGCUCACCAAGGCGACGACGGGUAGCCGGCCUGAGAGGGUGACCGGCCACACUGGGACUGAGACACGGCCCAGACUCCUACGGGAGGCAGCAGUGGGGAAUAUUGCACAAUGGGCGCAAGCCUGAUGCAGCGACGCCGCGUGAGGGAUGACGGCCUUCGGGUUGUAAACCUCCGUUAGCAGGGAAGAAGAGAGAUUGACGGUACCUGCAGAGAAAGCGCCGGCUAACUACGUG